rnacentral:tRNA from 1 species
UAUACUAAGGUGUUGGGUGCACAAAAAUUUUUGAAGUUUUAGGAUACAGUUUAAUUCUGUUAAGUAUAA